GAAUUUGGAAUUGUAAAGGGAACCAUGACCACCACUCAUUCCUAUACAGGGGAUCAGAGACUGUUGGAUGCAUCUCACCGGGAUUUGAGGCGGGCAAGAGCGGCAGCGCUGAACAUUGUGCCAACCAGCACUGGAGCUGCCAAAGCAGUAUCUCUCGUGCUGCCCCAACUCAAGGGCAAGCUAAACGGCAUUGCCCUCCGAGUGCCGACCCCUAACGUAUCUGUGGUAGACCUGGUGGUGAACGUCGCAAAGAAGGGUAUCUCAGCAGAGGAUGUCAAUGCUGCUUUCAGGAAGGCGGCAGAGGGGCCUCUGAACGGAGUCCUGUCCGUGUGUGACGAGCCGCUGGUGUCAGUCGACUUCCGAUGCACCGAUGUCUCCUCCACCAUCG
rnacentral:misc_RNA from 1 species